CUUGCGAUUCUCUAAAAGUCAAACAAGAACUCGCAUCUCACUACGAAAUUCUCCAUCACUUCGCAUUCGCAAUAGAAUGACCUUGAAUUGGCAUUCUGUAAACACUAAUCUUAAUUACCCUGCCUCGAGCGAAGUGAAGUGACAACGAAGUUUGUUUAUACUACUACUAGGGAUAGCCGUUAACACGCAAAUGUAAAUCGAAGCUUACCGGUUUCAGUUUUUCGUUGUAUUUAUAAGCAUUCUGUAAGAAAAUACUAUGAAUUUAAGCUUUGGUGUUAAAGCCACAUCUAAUUUAACUAAAAAGAAAAUUAAAAGUCAUAUAUUUAUGAUAUUAAUUGUAAUUUCUGGCUGCACGCUAAGUUCCUUUGCGUGCACUAGCGAAUACCAGAAUUAAAAAACAAAAUUUUAAUUGUUUUCAAAACAAUCUCGAGCGGUCGGAAGUUUUUAUUUUACUUUUUCUAGAUUUUUUGUUACUUUGUGAGUAAAUUUAACGUUAAAUAAAAAUUAUGAGAUUUAACGAGCGUUCUUCUCAUCCGACAUUGGUGCAAAUAGAGGCAUUGAUAGACGUUUUGGAUUAAAAGCUAGCGAAACAAAAGGUUUAAUCGUAUCUCAACAUGUUCAAUAAGAGAACAAGGAUAUCAAAAAAAUAUAGGAACUAAAUUCUCUUGUCAGAUAUGAUCCAUUCCCGGAACUACAACAGAUUGAAAAUACUAAUCCACAUCAGAAUAUUGUAAGGAGAAUUUAUUGCUAACUCGGAAAAUGUAUCAGUAUUGGAACAAUCCCAAUGUAUAUCAUUGCAUCAAGAAUCACCUAUUUUGCAGUCAUCCUCCCCUAACUAAAUGCAAGUGACUUAUACUUAUUGUGAUGCUACUACUAGUAGCUCCAGCCACAGUAGGUCUCAUGUUAGUCAAGAGAUUGGGUUGUUAGCACCUCAACACCUGACCUGCUAUUUUACCACUUUUCAAUGAAAAGCAGAGUGUACUCAAAUUACAACAAAUUACACAGUACCAGGAUAUAUAACUUAAACAACCAUGGGGGAAUAAAUAGUCGACAGUCUGCAAGAAGGAUGAACUGUUGGUGGAAUUAGCAUAUGCAGCUAGGAAUUUUAAACCUGUAUUUCCACAUAUUACUGAUGCAAACAAAUUUCAAAAUUAUUGUAUAUAACUAUUGAAUAAAACUAUAAUAAAACUAUUUUUAUAAAUCAUUAA